GGUCUCCGGAUUGGCUNUGGCGCGCCGGCAACGGCAUGCUAUUGCUGAAAAGUUGAUCAAACUUGGUCAUUUAGAGGAAGUAAAAGUCGUAACAAGGUUUCCGUAGGUGAACCUGCGGAAGGAUCAUUAUUGAAAUAAACCUGAUGGGUUGCUGCUGGCUCUCUCGGGAGCAUGUGCACACUUGUCAUCUUUAUAUCUCCACCUGUGCACCUUUUGUAGAUCUGGAUAUCUUUCUGAAUGCCUGCAUUCAGGUUUGAGGAUUGACUUGUCUUUCCUUACAUUUCCAGGCCUANGUUUCUUCAUAUACACCAUGUAUGUUAUAGAAUGUAAUGAAAAGGGCCUUUGUGCCUACAAACUUAUACAACUUUCAGCAACGGAUCUCUUGGCUCUCGCAUCGAUGAAGAACGCAGCGAAAUGCGAUAAGUAAUGUGAAUUGCAGAAUUCAGUGAAUCAUCGAAUCUUUGAACGCACCUUGCGCUCCUUGGUAUUCCGAGGAGCAUGCCUGUUUGAGUGUCAUUAAUAUAUCAACCUCCUCAGGUUUUUACUUGUCGAGUGUUUGGAUGUGGGGGUUUUUUUUGCUGGUCUCUUUUGAGAUCGGCUCCCCUGAAAUGCAUUAGCGGAACAAUUUGUUGACCCGUUCAUUGGUGUGAUAACUAUCUACGCUAUUGACGUGAAGCAGGUUCAGCUUCUAACAGUCCAUUAACUUGGACAAAUUUUCAUUAAUGUGACCUCAAAUCAGGUAGGACUACCCGCUGAACUUAAGCAUAUCAAUAAGCGGAGGAAAAGAAACUAACA
rnacentral:rRNA from 1 species